UGCUGUCGUGAGUGGUAAAGUGGAUUUUGAAAAUUUAAAAAUUUAGAAACAUUGACCGUAUCUGUUGUUUAAAAUAGCAUGAAUAGGUUUCGGAAGCAUCUAUUACCAAUCUACAGGAAUUUGCUGUCAUCCCAGCGAAAAAAUUGCUGCCCAUGGUGAUGAACCUUUGCUGAUGCAGCUCAAGAAAGGAGUACCCCAGGAGUCCACCGCUUGCAUGCUGUCUGUAUGAAGUCACUGUGUUGACACUCACUUUUGGUACUGAAGAAGAUUUGUUCGCUAUGGUGAGGGACGUCAUGAAGUGUGAACUGAGCAAGGAGGAUUCAGUUAUUCUUCACCUGCCCUUAGCACAUUAUCUGGGAGGAACUUCUUAUGGAGGAUGGAGAACCCAUGAUUCAUUACCCCCAGCACAUUCAUUGUUCACCAGCCAGAAGGAUUUAUUGCAGUCAGUUCCUGGAGAGGCAUCAGUGAAGAAAUUGCUGCUGAAGGAUCUCAGUGUGUUCAAGCUGAACAAGGAAGAUGCAGGAAGUCACCCCUUCCUUCUGUGCACAUACCGUCCGCAAGGCAGCUGUUGAUUCAAGACUUGAGAAGAAUGGCCAAGAAAUUCUCCCUUGACAUUGGUCGUAAUCUGUGAGGGGGUCCUUGAAGUAAAGAUGUGUGUUAUGUGUGAAGCAGUGAAUUUUUAGGUGUUUGUAGCUGUGAAGAUUCAUCUUCUGAUUUAGGACACUGCAUAGUGUAGUAGGUGGAUAUCAGCCCUGAAGAUGGAGACACUGAGUUACUCCUCAGUGUUAGCGGCCUCCGUAGUCUAGGGGUAACGUUCCC